rnacentral:rRNA from 1 species
AACGAACGCUGGCGGCGUGUUUAAGACAUGCAAGUCGCACGGAAUGAACCGAGUAGUAAUACCUGGUGAUUUCAGUGGCGCACGGGUGAGUAACACGUGAAAUUACAUGCCCUUCAGUGGGGAAUAGCCCGGGGAAACCCGGAUUAAUACCCCAUGGUACCGCAAGGUUAAAGGUGGCCAGCAAUGGCUGCCGCUGGAGGAUUGGUUCGCGCCCUAUCAGCUUGUUGGUGAGGUAACGGCUCACCAAGGCUACGACGGGGUACCUGGUCUGAGAGGACGAUCAGGCACACUGGAACUGAGACACGGUCCAGACACCUACGGGUGGCAGCAGUCGAGAAUAAUUCACAAUGGACGAAAGUCUGAUGGUGCAAACGCCGCGUGGAGGAUGACGGUCUUCGGAAUUGUAAACUCCUGUCAUCUGGGAGAAAACCUGGUCGUUAAUAGCGAACAGGGUUGAUAGUACCAGAAGAGGAAGGGACGGC